GUAGUGACGAAAAAUAACGAUGCAGAACUCAUUCCGAGGCUCUGCAAUCGGAAUGAGUACACUCUAAAUCAUUUAACGAGUACCCAUUGGAGGACAAGUCUGGUGCCAGCACCCGCGGUAAUUCCAGCUCCAAUAGCGUAUAUUAAAGUUGUUGCGGUUAAAAAGCUCGUAGUUGAACUUGUGUUUCGCGCUGACGGUUCACUGUUUUGUCAGUGUUUAACUGUCAUGUCGUGGCACGUAUUGCCGGUUGGCAUGUCCGUUGGCGUAAGUUGACGGCUGCCAGUUCCAAUCCUGUCGUGGUGCUCUUUACCGAGUGUCGUGGCAGGCCGGCACGUUUACCUUGAACAAAUUUGAGUGCUUAAAUCAGGCUAUAAUUGCCGGAAAACUGUGUGCAUGGAAUAAUAAAAUAGGACAGUGGUUCUAUUUUGUUGGUUUUCAGACCCCGCUGUAAUGAUUAAUAGGGCUCGACGGGGGCAUUAGUAUUGCGACGUUAGAGGUGAAAUUCUUGGAUCGUCGCAAGACUAACCUAAGCGAAAGCAUUUGCCAAGGAUGCUUCCAUUAAUCAAGAACGAAAGUUAGAGGUUCGAAGGCGAUCAGAUACCGCCCUAGUUCUAACCAUAAACGCUGCCAGCCAACGAUCCGUUGCAGUUACUCCGAUGACUCGACGGGCAGCUUCCGGGAAACUAAAGCGUUUGGGUUCCGGGGGAAGUAUGGUUGCAAAGCUGAAACUUAAAGGAAUUGACGGAAAGGCACCACCAGGAGUGGAGCCUGCGGCUUAAUUUGACUCAACACGGGAAAUCUCACCAGGCCAGAACACUAGAUGGAUUGACAGAUUGAGAGCUCUUUCUUGAUUUAUGG
rnacentral:rRNA from 1 species